UUGACCUCGGAUCAGGUAGGAUUACCCGCUGAACUUAAGCAUAUCAAUAAGCGGAGGAAAAGAAACCAACAGGGAUUGCCCCAGUAACGGCGAGUGAAGCGGCAACAGCUCAAAUUUGAAAUCUGGCCCUCGGGUCCGAGUUGUAAUUUGGAGAGGAUGCUUUUGGCGCGGCGCCGUCCGAGUUCCUUGGAACAGGACGCCAUAGAGGGUGAGAGCCCCGUACGGGCGGCCGCCUAGCCUUUGUAAAGCUCCUUCGACGAGUCGAGUAGUUUGGGAAUGCUGCUCAAAAUGGGAGGUAAAUUUCUUCUAAAGCUAAAUACCGGCCAGAGACCGAUAGCGCACAAGUAGAGUGAUCGAAAGAUGAAAAGCACUUUGAAAAGAGGGUUAAAAAGUACGUGAAAUUGUUGAAAGGGAAGCGCCUGUGACCAGACUUGCGGCCCGUGGAUCAUCCGGUGUUCUUCACCGGUGCACUCCGCGGGCUGCAGGCCAGCAUCGGUUUUCCUAGGGGGAUAAAGGUCGCGGGAACGUAGCUCCCUCGGGAGUGUUAUAGCCCGUGGCG
rnacentral:rRNA from 1 species